rnacentral:rRNA from 1 species
GACGAACGCUGGCGGCGUGCUUAACACAUGCAAGUCGAACGGAAAGGCCCCUUUGGGGGUACUCGAGUGGCGAACGGGUGAGUAACACGUGAGUAACCUGCCCUUGACUUCGGGAUAACUUCAGGAAACUGGGGCUAAUACCGGAUAGGAAUCCUUGCUGCAUGGUGGGGGUUGGAAAGCUUCGGCGGUUUUGGAUGGACUCGCGGCUUAUCAGCUUGUUGGUGGGGUAGUGGCUUACCAAGGCUUUGACGGGUAGCCGGCCUGAGAGGGCGACCGGCCACAUUGGGACUGAGAGACGGCCCAGACUCCUACGGGAGGCAGCAGUGGGGAAUAUUGCACAAUGGGCGGAAGCCUGAUGCAGCAACGCCGCGUGCGGGAUGACGGCCUUCGGGUUGUAUACCGCUUUCAGCAGGGGCGAAGCUUGUGGUGACGGUACCUGCAGAAGAAGCACCGGCUAACUACGUG